GACACCGUCUUCUCCGCCGCACUGCCUCGUCUUCCCCGCCGCGCUGCCUCGUCCUCUUCUACCACGCCGCGCCGCCCUGGUCGACGACGACGGGGGUACGCGGCAGCGGCACCCUCCUGGAGCAACCGCGGCGCUUCCCCCGUGUCGAGUCCAACCCAUGCGGCAGCCGGUAGCGGCCGCCGCUCGUGCGAGGUGACACUGUACAGGCGGUGUCGGUCAGGAGAGGGCGGAGGGGGCUAAGGCACAGGAACAGGUUGCGUUUAGUUACCUCGACGGCUGGGUCUAACAACAACCGACGAUAUUCUUCCCUCCCAGGAGCCGAGCUUAGAGGUAGUCCAGUCAAAACCUGCUUCGUAGGUUACAGCUGUGGCUCAAGCGGCGUCCUUCUUCGCGGCUAAAGCGGCCUCCAUCUUCUUCGCGGCUCAAGCCGCUUCCAUCUUCUUGUCGGCAGCUCGACAGGUUACGGCGGACGCAGCCGAUGUCGGAUUCUGGAAUUCUAGUCGCUACUUGUAUGCAGCUCGGCAGGUUAUAAAGGACACCGUCGUUGUGGUCUCUUUUAUCUACUGUAGUGACUUGACUUGUAACGUCUCCUAAAACUAUUGGCUGGAAGGUUUUUCCGUUUUUAAAGACUUAGUCCACAAGACCUUGGUAGUGGACACAGUGGUUGAUACUUUUGUAGAAGAGGUCCAAGUCUCACAAAACUUAGCUAGCACGGCCAUAGUCUAUUAGUCUACUUAGUACUAUGUGAUGGUAGUGGAGGUAGGGGUAGAUCGAGCUGUUAUAGAGUACAAAGAGAUAACGUACUACAAUUCCUUGGUCUAAGUGUAUUUCUCUAGUUUCAACUACUCUGUAUACUAAUAGAGGGUGUUCUGAUAUGUAACUGGCUGGUACUAGAUACACGAGUAUAUCGUUAUCUUAGUAGAAAGUCUUUUGUUAACGACCAAGUCUAUCUACCUUCAAGACAGAACGUUGUAGUUAACUACACGGACGAUCUACUUUUUCUCACCCAUUUACUACUACACUAGUUACGUAUAUAUACAACAUAUUUCCUGGUUUAUGUAGAGGUCUUACUAUUAUUUCAUAUAAAACUCUCAGGUAAACAAUGGAGUGAUAAAUUUGCUCUACCGUGGUAACCUUAUGUUCUUCUAUCACGGAAGUACUGUCUCUGACAGGAACUUAUAUACGUCGUACUGUACUAAUUUGAAGGUUAUUUACGGUUAUUGUGUGUAACCAUAAAUCGACAACACUUAUGUUUUUUUUACACUCCAAGUUCAUGAUCUGAGUAACACGACCUUAAGACUGUCUCUACUAGAGCGAUUAUGCGAUGCUCCUUAUGUUAAAGUAAACCUGGAAGAAUUUUCAGUUUUCAACCAUUCACUGCUAACCUUUCUGCAACUAGAAUGACUUACCUUCUAGUGUCUUGUUAAUGUUUUCCGUUAAGUUUUUCUAUCGAGAAGUACACCAAAUAAAUACCAAUUUAAAUACCUUAAAAAAUGGCCUACACGUGAUAGGAUGGGUUAAUGUGUCCUUUACUAAUGAAGAAAAUCUAAAUUCAAUCGGUCGUAUGAUAAUACAACCUUUUGUUUGUGCCGUCGUUACUGAUGUUAGCAACUUCUUUCACUGCUACUGUCGUUCCCCCUAGGACUACUACAAGUUUAUAACCUUUCAAAUCUACUAUAUUUUUUUGUUUUUGUUUUUUGGGCAAUAGACAACUUUUGUUUAUGUCUAGUGAUUAUAGUUAAGAAAGAUUAUACUGGAAUGUACUCAAUUGUCGACCUGAAACAUCAAAGUAAUUUAGUUAGUUAAUGUGGCUCUAAAAUCUCUUUCAUACCUAAGUCUCAAGUUUUGGUAUAGGUUAUUCGAACAGAGAAUCUUUUGAUGUUCCUUACGAUUUCCUACUAAAUGGGUACCUGGCUCUAACGAAAUUGAACUAGCAUACUUUCUAAUACAACCUACUGUAGGUUUGUAUUUUUUUUUCGUUAACUACCGUUUCGUAAUAGACCUGUACUUUAGAACCUACUGAUGACUAAAACCUUCCGUGGGUCUAAAGGCAUUUUUCAAUCUACACCUCGUUGAUCGUUUAAAACAAGCAUCAACCGGGCCAUAGUUUAUAUUACAAAGUUGUACGUUUAGCUAGGUAUAGGGUCAUAUUAGGUAACUACUUAAGUAAGAUAAGUGUAACCUGGUUCUAUGUUCUUGUCAUAUGUAAAACCUGGGAUGAGGAAAAUUAGGUUAUAUGGCUAUGUUGGGUGAGCGUUUUAUAAACUUUUUUUAAUAUACCUAAUUGCUUGUGAAUGGCUUUCGUUACAGUUUUCGUACGGGACCCAGAUCUACCUUGCUCCUAUGAGAGGAUACCGUAGUAUUUUAGGAUCUACUAUAAGGUCAAAUGUUGUCCCUUGACAGACCAAUAGAACAAGGGGAUAAGUACAGGUGUACCCUUCUACUUUCUGUUGUAAACGGUAAAAAUUUCCUACCUAUACUUGAGUCUUUUGAUUGAAACCCGGUUCACGAUUGUAAGUUCCUGUUACUUACACUUCUAUUGUACGGACGACCACAUAACCUUAAGUAGUUAACGUAAUCCUUUUAGGUUUUAAUUUAACCCUCGAGUUAGCCACCUUCCACUAAACAGUCUCUCUUAAGAACGUCGGUUGUUAAUUAUCUGUUACUCGUCCCUCUGUUACUGUUAAUUAUUAUCUAAAACCAAAGAUGAAUUCUAUAGCGAAUGUAUAUACAUCUUUUUUAAACCUCGAACGACCCUAUAUUAAAAAAAACCCCAAUGGUUAAUAUUCGCUACUACCUCACGAAGUUAUAAACUACAAACCCCCAAGUUUGUACUGUUAUGACACAUUUAGUGUUUAUUAUGUCUUAGUACAUGGCACAAC
rnacentral:rRNA from 1 species